UACGGGGUGGGCAAGCGUUGUUCGGAAUUACUGGGCGUAAAGGGCUCGUAGGCGGCCAACUAAGUCGGAUGUGAAAUCCCCAGGCUUAACCUGGGAACUGCAUCCGAUACUGGAUGGCUUGAAUCCGGGAGAGGGAUGCGGAAUUCCAGGUGUAGCGGUGAAAUGCGUAGAUAUCUGGAGGAACACCGGUGGCGAAGGCGGCAUCCUGGACCGGCAUUGACGCUGAGGAGCGAAAGCGUGGGGAGCAAACAGG
rnacentral:rRNA from 1 species